GUAGGUGGCAAGCGUUGUCCGGAAUUAUUGGGCGUAAAGCGCGCGCAGGCGGUCCUUUAAGUCUGAUGUGAAAGCCCACGGCUCAACCGUGGAGGGUCAUUGGAAACUGGGGGACUUGAGUACAGAAGAGGAAAGCGGAAUUCCAAGUGUAGCGGUGAAAUGCGUAGAGAUUUGGAGGAACACCAGUGGCGAAGGCGGCUUUCUGGUCUGUAACUGGCGCUGAGGCGCGAAAGCGUGGGGAGCAAACAGGAUUAGAUACCCUGGUAGUCCACGCCGUAAACGAUGAGUGCUAAGUGUUAGGGGGUUUCCCGCCCCCCUUAGUGCUGCAGCUAACGCAUUAAGCACUCCGCCUGGGGAGUACGGCCGCAAGGCUG
rnacentral:rRNA from 1 species